rnacentral:rRNA from 1 species
CGACGAGAAUCUCUGAAAGAGUUUUCGGACAAUGGAAGUAGAGGAAAGUGGCGGACGGGUGAGUAACGCGUGAGGAACCUGCCUUGAAGAGGGGGACAACAGUUGGAAACGACUGCUAAUACCGCAUGACGCAUAGAGGUCGCAUGAUCUUUAUGCCAAAGAUUUAUCGCUUCAAGAUGGCCUCGCGUCUGAUUAGCUAGUUGGCGGGGUAACGGCCCACCAAGGCGACGAUCAGUAGCCGGACUGAGAGGUUGAACGGCCACAUUGGGACUGAGAUACGGCCCAGACUCCUACGGGAGGCAGCAGUGGGGAAUAUUGGGCAAUGGGCGCAAGCCUGACCCAGCAACGCCGCGUGAAGGAAGAAGGCUUUCGGGUUGUAAACUUCUUUUAAGAGGGAAGAGCAGAAGACGGUACCUCUAGAAUAAGCCACGGCUAACUACGUGCCAGCAGCCGCGGUAAUACGUAGGUGGCAAGCGUUGUCCGGAUUUACUGGGUGUAAAGGGCGUGCAGCCGGGUCUGCAAGUCAGAUGUGAAAUCCAUGGGCUCAACCCAUGAACUGCAUUUGAAACUGUAGAUCUUGAGUGUCGGAGGGGCAAUCGGAAUUCCUAGUGUAGCGGUGAAAUGCGUAGAUAUUAGGAGGAACACCAGUGGCGAAGGCGGAUUGCUGGACGAUAACUGACGGUGAGGCGCGAAAGUGUGGGGAGCAAACAGGAUUAGAUACCCUGGUAGUCCACACUGUAAACGAUGAAUACUAGGUGUGCGGGGACUGACCCCCUGCGUGCCGCAGUAAACACAAUAAGUA